AUUGGUUGUGAUGACCCAAUGAAAUUCAAGCUCAAUAGACCGGGUAGUAGGCUUCUCUUUUUAGAGCAUGUUUGCAUGUCGACAACCCUGCUGAACUGAGCCUCU